AUCCUAGAUAGUCAAGGCCACUCAUAGGAAGCUGGAAAUCAUGUAUGAAGAUAGCGAUGGAAGACCAACUGGUCCUAAUGCUAGUCUAUUCCUAUCUGAGAUAGGAUCUGGUGUGAGAAUAUUUGCACCUCUCCAAAAGAUCUUUUAAAAAGACGUGUCUGAAUUUGAAAAAUCCCCUAUUUAUGACAAAGUGGAGGAUAAUGAAACUGGACGACAAGACAAAAUUCAGCUAUGGAAGAACACACAUUACAAGGAUACAAAAGGCUGGAUCCAUCCUGUGGUUGAGGAGAAACAUAAAGAGAUGGUAGACAUACAAACAACACAACAGGCACAUAUUGUGGGAGAGGAGAGUGAGAUCCAAGGAGCAUAGCUCACUGCUAAUGACAUUUCGACUCAGGUCCUUAGAGCUACUU